GACCAUAUAAAUAAAACAAACUUCCUUUGACAAUAAGUUUCUAAUUAAAUCAUGGCUGCGCCUGGGCAGCGUUAUUGUGAGAGUAAAAGUGGACGUGCUGCUACUCCCCUCAUUCCCAACAUGUAUCAAGUACCUGCAUUGAGUAAUGCAAGAGUGAGAUGACACAUCUCAGCAAGUAAAAUAAUAUCAAACAGUUUAACCACAUAAGAACAUUGUUUUACCACCACUUUAUUCCACAACCUUCUUAUUACGAAGGUGCAGCACGUAUACAACGUACAACACACCUAGUUACCACACCUCGCAGGUAGAAACCACAACAGUAACAUAGUAAUGUCACACUUCAUAUAUUCCCCAUGAGUGCAAAUGUCUGCAAAUGCAAGGAUGACUUCUGCCUUCAUACCACUAAGGAUAUGAAGCCGCAUCGUACCCCUCCUCGGGCAACGUACGAUGCUAAAAAUGUACUGGUAUGGUCGAACCAUAAGAUCACGACAUAACUUCAAAAUGCAAGAUGGAUGAUGUGAUGUGCAUGUCAUGCCUACAACACUUCAUAUAACAUGAUUAAAAAAGAUACUUCAACUUCAUCCAAGAUGGGAAUCAACCACAUAUAUCAUUACCAAAUUAUGAUCAUCCACAAUAUUAGACAAUUGAGAAUUAAUACUUCCAAACAAAUAAAGUUUAUCAUAGAAUUCAAUGAUUAACAUAAUUAAAACUUAUGCAUACUCAAUGACAGGGAAUAGGAUGCAAACCAAAUGGUAGCAACCACCACUGUAUUUACUUGCCUUUACCGGAAGUUCGGGCAAAUCCCUAAGUACGAUCCGGAAGUCCACCACCUGUUUUUGGCACCCAACUUAGUGCACCAAUUUCACAUAAUCAGGCUCAUAAGCGACGCCGCACCUACGCACAAACUCAAACCCCGCCGCUGGUUACAUCUCUCCCUACACCCACCAAACUGCAGCGGCGCUGCUUAAUAAUUUCAUAACUUUAAAAUUAUGACAACAGUGGUAACAAACAAAAACUCCAGAGGCAUCUACAUAAAAUUCCCCACAAGUUUUGUAUAUUAUAAUUAAAUUCCAAUAUCUAAUUAGCCCAAAAUAGUCCACAAGAUGAACCCUGUAAUCUGUUUUUCUUUAUCUUUUGGACAGCGACAUACCCGGAUUCAAACAGCGAUAUCUUUUAAAAUAUAAUUCCAAAUCAAGCGCAAAAGUACUCAUUAGAAAGAUAAGACAAAUACCUACAUGAUUAUUAUACUGGUUAACACUAAUUACCCACGAAAAAUUCCCAGAAACUGCUAAUACCACUGCUGUUCACCCACCUGAAAAAUCUGUUUUUUGGACAGCAACAUAACCGGAUUCAAACAACGAUAUCUCAUAAAUUAUAACUCCGAAUCGAGCGCAUAAGUACUUGUUGGAAAGAUAACAUAAAGCACUACAUGAUUCUCAUACUGAUUAACACUAAUUACUCACGAAAAAUUCCCAGAAACUGCUAAUACCACUGCUGUUCACCCACCUGAAAAAUCUGUUUUUUUGGACAGCAACAUAACCGGAUUCAAACAACGAUAUCUCCUAAAUUAUAACUCUGAAUCGAGCGCAUAAGUACUUGUUGGAAAGAUAACAUAAAGCCCUACAUGAUUCUCAUACUGAUUAACACUAAUUACUCCCGAAUAAUCCCCAGAAACUGCUAAUACUGCUGCUGUUCAUCCCGUGAAAAUCUGUUUUUUUGACAGCCACCUACCCGGUUUCAAACGGUGAUAACUUUUAAUUUAUAACUCCAAAUUGAGCGCAUAAAUACUCGUUGGAAAGGUAUGCCAAAGUUCUACAUGAUUCCCAAACUGAUUCCCCUUAAUUCUCCACGAAAAAUGCCCAAAAAUCACUAAUUCUGCUGCUGUUCGUCCACCCCCUUAAAAUUCUGGACAGCCCUUCUACCAAAUCGCACACGCAACAUCUAAACAAUUGGAUUGCCGCAUAAAAUGAACAAGAGAUAAACACAAAAAUCACCUUGGGUUCUCCCCCUUUUCUUCCUCCCCUCCUCCCUCCACCGAAAACCGUUGAAGAUUUGCACCACGCGAUGGAGAUCCGAGCGGCAACGAAUGGCACCAUGGGAGGAGGAGAUGGGGGGGGCUAGGGUUUGAUGUGUGGCUGCAAGUGCUUGAGAAAGGAGGAGAUGGGAGGGGGCGGACAAGAGGGUAGGGGAAUGGGGGGGGCUGCACAAAGAAUGGGGGGGGGGGGUUAGGGGGAGGGCAGCUAGGGUUAUGGGGGUUAGUGGGCCGAAACAAGAUUUGCGACCCAACACGCCCACGCGACGGCUCCCGACCCCGAUGCAAGCGCCUAACCAAAGAAAUUCUACUGCCCUACUGGUGAAUGUUUUUCCUCAAAUUCCAAAUUCCCAAAACGCAACCACUGAAAGAGAGAAAAAAAACAAAAAGAAUACCCUCCAACUUCUCUUCUUUGCAAACCGGGUGUCACACUCUACCCCCCUUAAAAAGAAUUCGACCUCGAAUUCCGACGCUUCUAUCGGAACAACAAAAGAAAGAUUAAUGAAUCAACAAAACUCACACAUAAAGUAAAGUUCGAGUACUUCUGCUGCAUCAGCUCCUCAAGCUCCUAGGAUUCUAAGAUACGCACCAGGCGACACUCUAGAGUCUGCUCUUGCUACACAGGAAUCGGCUCUAGCUCGAUUUGAUGGUCUGGAUUCCGCAAAUACUUCCUCAACAUAAAGACAUGGAAUACUUGGUGUACUCUGAUCAUAGAUUACGACAAUUACAUGUGCUAAGCCCAGCUGCCAACUCGGCCAAGAUAGUAGACGGUCCUAUAUACCUCGGACCAAGCUUUCCUGACACCAAAUCAAUCAUUGACAUAUGCAAGUACUUCAAGGAAUGUAUAUAUGAAUGCAAGGCAUAUAAUGUUCCUAUAGCCUAAACCAAACUUAGCCAAACAAGAGCAACUUCAAGAGAGCAACUUAAUGCUUGCAUAUUUCUAGAUAGCAGCACAACGGUUAAUUGUUUUGCUCCUAACUCACAAAAUAUGCAUCGAAAAUUAGUAAACUAGGACUUUAUGGAAAGCUUAUAAAGUCCACUAUACCCUUGGUAUUAUCAUCACAACAAGAUUUGACACUUAGAAAGGUCAAACAAUGCUAAACGUAAAUUUUGUCCAGACUUGGACAUAAUUCAACUACUCAAUUCAAAAAUCCAUAAUUGGAGUCUCAAUCAUCCAAUUCAGGUGCUCACAGACUUUUUAGAAAGCUAGUAGAAUUGUCUAUAAUUCAUUUAUAAACAUAUCAAGUUAAUUCAAUGCAUAUUAAGGUCAAAAGACACGAGAAAGGCUCUGCUGUCCAAAUUUGGACAGAUUCAGAGAUAACACUUAAAACGGCUUUAACUUAACUUAUAGAUCUCCAAAAAAAUUAAUCCAAAAUUUGUUGAAACGAUUAAGAAAAGUACUACAACUUCUUUAUAAUUUAUAAUAAGUUAUUCGAAGUUUAAAUUGGGCAAACAAGGUCAGCUUCGAAAUCUGUACAAAAUCUGCACAGAUUUCAAGACUGGACUUGAGAAAAUCAUAACUCCCAAACUACUAGACCUAUGGUCAUGAAAUGUUUACACAAGUAAGAUAAAGAAGUUGGCUACAACUUUUAUAUAUAACAUCUCUACAGAAAAGAUGGUUUACUUCAUUUAACUAGCUGCAUAACUAAAACUGGUCAUUGAGUCCCAAUAGCAAGCAAUAGAUUUUAACAGGUUCAUUACUCUUCUAAGAUUAAGUGUUCAAUGAAAGACUAAUAACUUUAGGUUCUUCAUUACGAGACACCUAGAAGAAAUAUAAGUAUAGAAGCAAUAUGAUAACUUUUUAAAUCAUUUAAGCCUAAUCUCACAUCAUGCAAACAAGAAUCAAUUUAAGCAUGUUAUGUCUGCCCACAUAUUCAUCCAAGCGCAUUCUAUACAUGAUAUCAUAACUCCCUGCAGCUAACAAAAUUUUGCAAAUAUAAACUCAUUGAAAAGAUUAUAACAUUCCCUAGAACUUUUAUUAUAAUGAGUGUCUCGGAAUUGGUUUCCAAACCGAUAAAAAAUGCAACUCUUUUGUUGCAAAACUGAUAGGAUUGAAACAAUGGACAACUAAAAUUCAAAAACCUAUAACUCCUGCUAUACUCAACUUAAACUACAACGAACACGCGUUGGAAAAGUUUUGAAAAUUGUCCACGACUUUUGCAAUAAAGUUGCACCCAAAUUUGUCCUUAUAGCCCUCAACUCUGCAUGACCUACAGCUAAACUCAGCCUGAGAUACUGCACAUUAGAGAUUCGACUUAUACCCGAGCAACCACCUCUCCAAAUCUAUUUAACAGACAAUUACAAGUAAAUACCCAUUAAAAAGGUACUGAAAAGACCUACAAGUUUUGCUUAAAGAGAAUUCGCAAAUUUGUGCUCUGCAACUAUCAAAACGCGGUCGAUUUAUUGGUGAUUAUAACGACGCCUAAAGUUCAGACACAACAGUGCAACAACUUCAGAGCAACCUAACUCCAAUUAUAUGCAAUGAGAAUUAGAAACCCAUACUCUUUGAAAAGAUCAUGAAAUUACUAAAACUUUCAUAAUCCACAAAGACCAAAUUAUACCGUCUUCAAUGUCUACUCUUCCGUACAAAAUUAAAGACUCACUCUACUAGAGACACCAACAAAGAUGUUUUAAGAAACCCAUAUCUCUCAAAUGUUUAGACCAAACAUGGUGAUUAAGCAUCCUAUGGAAAGAUGAAGAAACAUACUACAAAACAUUCUAGAUAAGUGAAGCCUAAUUCAGCCUCCAACUAAUUUAAAAUGCCUCCUGGAACCAAACAACACAUUAUCAACAAUAAAAAAACAAUAUAAAAUGAAACCCAAGUCAUUGGCAGGUGCAAUCAACACUAGGAUUUUCCACUACCAAACUGGGAUGCAACUCCACAAAGUCUUUAAAUAACACUCUACCAAAUAGGUUAGAACACUAAGCACAACAAUCAAUGAAUUCAACAACCUCGUUUGUUAAUGCCACUAAGGUCAAACAUCCAUGUAUCGACAAUGUAUGAAACACCUGACAUACCUGUCUCCAGCACUAUAAAACAUAGUUGUUAUUACACUAGAAUCCAACUACUAGAAAUCUCCAAAACUAUUCUGUUGACGUGAAGCAAAUGGUGCUCAUGUCAUAUAACAUCUUUUUCUCCUCUCAAAAGAGAUAAAAUUUGCAAUACUCAUAAAGCAAUGGAGGGAUAACAACAAGAAAAACUAAUGUACUUCUUGACACAGACUCAUGCAAAAGCUUCAUAAAUAUUACUUUCAACAUUAAAAUAAUAACACGAUACUAUGCUCAACAGGAGUAAUUGGACUUCAAUAAGACAAUCCACCUAACCAAACUACCUUGAUUAACCUCACAUACAACAAUACCUCCUAUUAUUGCACUUGAACAAUUUGUACCUAGUGAUGUCAUAGGAUGAAUUCAAAGUAGUAGACAUACAUGAUCUAUCAAACCAUCAUUCAUAUAAAAAAAUCUCCAUCUGAUGCAACAACCACAUCAUUAUAGAGAUAGAUGACUAACAAACAUAAGCAACUUCCAGUUAAACAUUGACUUUGUUUAAGAUAAAAGCGGUCCAAAUAAUAAUUCAACAAGCAUGCAUAGAAAACUGAUCAUAUAAAAAAACUACCAUAUAUCAUCGGCGAUUAAAAACAAUAUAAAACGGGUUGUCCAUAUCGUCCACAUGACUAGCCUCCAACAAAUAAAAAUUAUGCAUAACCUUUUUGGCUAUAGAAACAAACCAUAGAAGGAAAACAUGCAUGCCUCUUCAACUAUAAUAUAGACAUAAAAUCCACUUGAAAUCACCCUAUUUAUUAUUAAAGAUAAGGUUGCACACAAUAAGAAAACCUAUCAUGUAAACAUGGUUGAACUUAUCUAUCCACGUCAUCUUAAAAAUUCACUUGAGUUCUACCAGUCUCAAGAUUUCAUAGACAGUACAACAUUGCCUUUGCUCUAUGGAGACAAACCUAUUGUACUCUAAGAUCAAGUUGGCAAGUAGCCACACUAGCCAAAAAAAAGGUGAGGUGUAAAGCACUGCACCCAUGGAAAUAUUACAUUGAUAAGUUGGGUUGUAACCCAACAGUCAAUCAAACUCAACAACACCAUAAAACUACAUUGUAUAGCGUUUUCACACUACACCAAGUCGGAUUAGAUCCUCUAUACACAAGCUCAAUAAACAAUCGGUCCUACAAGUACUAGAACCCAAGAAUCCUUUUGGGAAAAAACAUCCACAAUCAAGCAUAUAGAAAUAUAUGAUGGUAAUAGCUCAGAGAUUAGUAAACAUUGCAUCCAAAAAAACAUCAUGACAAUAUGUAUAUAAAACAAGUACAUUAGUAGCUUCACUUGCAUAAUAAUUUCAAUAACAAUCACAUCAAGAAACCAAUAUUAAAUAAAAGUAACAUUUCAUAUCAAGUAUUACGUCGUUAACGACAUACCCCAUCAAACCAUAAAGGGAUUUGGAGUAAGGAAAUUCUAGUCAUCUGUACAAUAAAAUACUAAUAUGAAAGAUAUAUGAACCCAUACCCUUCCUAUAUGUGCAAGUGUGUCAAAUUUAUCUUCAAAUUGCGUAGAAUCUAAAGCCUAUCCUCUGAUACCAACUGUAACACUCCGGGUUCCACAAACAACCCGGAAUGCUACUGAACUACACUUCUGACGUCCAUAUAUAAAAUUUCGGCAGCAUCCCCUUUGCAAGAUUGCAUAAAAGAGGGGGCAACAGAGUAUAAACAUAUAUCAUGACUAAAACAUACUAAGUAUUAUUAAUCGGCUAGCAAGGAAAGAUAAACAUACGACCUGAACUGAAUUAACCAGUGCGCACGACCAUAUAUAGAAAACAAACUUCCUUUGACAAUAAGUUUCUAAUUAAAUCAUGGCUGCGCCUGGGCAGCGUUAUUGUGAGAGUAAAAGUGGAUGUGCUGCUACUCCCCUCAUUCCCAACAUGUAUCAAGUACCUGCAUUGAGUAAUGCAAGAGUGAGAUGACACAUCUCAGCAAGUAAAAUAAUAUCAAACAGUUUAACCACAUAAGAACAUUGUUUUACCACCACUUGAUUCCACAACCUUCUUAUUACGAAGGUGCAGCACGUAUACAACGUACAACACACCUAGUUACCACAAUUCGCAGGUAGAAACCACAAUAGUAACAUAGUAAUGUCACACUUCAUAUAUUCCUCAUGAGUGCAAAUGUCUGCAAAUGCAAGGAUGACUUCUGCCUUCAUACCACUAAGGAUAUGAAGCCGCAUCGUACCCCUCCUCGGGCAACGUACGAUGCUAAAAAUGUACCAGUACGGUCGGACCAUAAGAUCACGACAUAACUUCAAAAUGCAAGAUGGAUGGUGUGAUGUGCAUGUCAUGCCUACAACACUUCAUAUAACAUGAUUCAAAAAGAUACUUCAACUUCAUCCAAGAUGGGAAUCAACCACAUAUAUCAUUACCAAAUUAUGAUCAUCCACAAUAUUUGACAAUUGAGAAUUAAUACUUCCAAACAAAUAAACUUCAUCAUAGAAUUCAAUGAUUAACAUAAUUAAAACUUAUGCAUACUCAAUGACAGGGAAUAGGAUGCAAACCAAACGGUAGCAACCACCACUGUAUUUACUUGCCUUUACCGGAAGUUCGGGCAAAUCCCUAAGUACGAUCCGGAAGUCCACCACCUGUUUUUGACACCCAACUUAGUGCACCAAUUUCACAUAAUCAGGCUCACAAGUGACGCCGCACCUACGCACAAACUUAAACCCCGCCGCGGGUUACAUCUCUCCCUACACCCACCAAACUGCAGCGGCGCUGCUUAAUAAUUUCAUAACUUUAAAAUUAUGACAGCAGUGGUAACAAACAAAAACUCCAGAGGCAUCUACAUAAAAUUCCCCACAAGUUUUGUAUACAAUUUAUAAUUAAAUUCCAAUAUCUGAUUAGCCCAAAACAGUCCACAAGAUGAACCCUGUAAUCUGUUUUUUCUUUGUCUUUUGGACAGCGACAUACCCGGAUUCAAACAGCGAUAUCUUUUAAAAUAUAAUUCCAAAUCAAGCGCAUAAGUACUCAUUGGAAAGAUAAGACGAAUCCCUACAUGAUUAUCAUACUGGUUAACACUAAUUACCCACGAAAAAUUCCCAGAAACUGCUAAUACCACUGCUGUUCACCCACCUGAAAAAUCUGUUUUUUUGGACAGCAACAUAACCGGAUUCAAACAACGAUAUCUCCUAAAUUAUAACUCCGAAUCGAGCGCAUAAGUACUUGUUGGAAAGAUAACAUAAAUCCCUACAUGAUUCUCAUAGUGAUUAACACUAAUUACUCACGAAAAAUUCCCAGAAACUGCUAAUACCACUGCUGUUCACCCACCUGAAAAAUCUGUUUUUUUGGACAGCAACAUAACCGGAUUCAAACAACGAUAUCUCCUAAAUUAUAACUCCGAAUCGAGCGCAUAAGUACUUGUUGGAAAGAUAACAUAAAGCCCUACAUGAUUCUCAUACUGAUUAACACUAAUUACUACCGAAAAAUCCCCAGAAACUGCUAAUACUGCUGCUGUUCAUCCCCUGAAAAUCUGUUUUUUUUGGACAGCCACCUACCCGGUUUCAAACGGUGAUAACUUUUAAUUUAUAACUCCAAAUUGAGCGCAUAAAUACUCGUUGGAAAGGUAUGCCAAAGUUUUACAUGAUUCCCAAACUGAUUCCCCUUAAAUCUCCACGAAAAAUGCCCAGAAAUCACUAAUUCUGCUGCUGUUCGUCCACCCCCUUAAAAUUCUGGACAGCCCUUCUACCAAAUCGUACACGCAACAUCUAAACAAUUGGAUUGCCGCAUAAAAUGAACAAGAGAUAAACACAAAAAUCACCUUGGGUUCUCCCCCUUUUCUUCCUCCCCUCCUCCCUCCACCGAAAACCGUUGAAGAUUUGCACCACGCGACGGAGAUCCGAGCGGCAACGAAUGGCACCAUGGGAGGAGGAGAUGGGGGGGUAGGGUUUGAUGUGUGGCUGCAAGUGCUUGAGAAAGGAGGAGAUGGGAGGGGGGGGGGCGGCCAAGAG
rnacentral:lncRNA from 1 species